rnacentral:miRNA from 1 species
CCUGAUCGCAUUUUAAAAGGC